UCUUGUUUGCGCAACUGUACAAGUACACUUAACAAUAAUAUAGUAUUGUAGAAGAAUCGUGAGUCAGGUGUGUUUAGAACAACAUAAUAUUUUCAUAGUCGCUGUAAUCUUUGCGCUGUACGUGAAGUUUUAUCGUUUUACACGUCCAACUACAAAUUUUGUUACAGGAAUCUCUCAGUGAUCAUAUGGAAUAUAUACGGUUGGAGAGUUUUUUGAAGUUAUACUUCUUUAGGCGCAUUAUGAAAAAUUGAUGAGAGUGAAAUUUUACGAUGCGCGCGCGCACCGUGACACAAAAUUAACAGAAUGAAGUUGCCCAUUAAAUAGCUCAUUACAAUAAACGUAACUUGGCGAGUCUGAAUAUAGCCGCAGGUGAACUUUCGCACAUGUACACUCGUAAAAAAAGUGUUAUUAGCAUUCAUUUUUUAGUAACAUAAAAGACAAAAUUAUUUUUUAAUAUAAUUCAUACUAAAUAUUAUUAAAUUAUUAACGUUAAA